rnacentral:rRNA from 1 species
UACGUAGGGGGCAAGCGUUGUCCGGAUUUAUUGGGCGUAAAGAGCUCGUAGGUGGUUCGGUAAGUCGGAUGUGAAAUCUCCAGGCUCAACCUGGAGGGGUCAUUCGAUACUGCCGUGACUAGAGGUCGGUAGGGGAGUGUGGAAUUCCUGGUGGAGCGGUGAAAUGCGCAGAUAUCAGGAGGAACACCCGUAGCGAAGGCGGCACUCUGGGCCGAUACUGACACUGAGGAGCGAAAGCCAGGGGAGCGAACGGG